UACGUAGGGGGCAAGCGUUGUCCGGAGUUACUGGGCGUAAAGCGCACGCAGGCGGUCUCUUAAGUUUGGAGUGACAGUUGGUGGCUUAACUGCCAAAGUGCUUCGAAAACUGAAGAGAUCUGGAGGCUUCAGAGGGACACGGAAUUCCGGGUGGAGUGGUGAAAUGCGUAGAGAUCCGGAGGAACACCAAAGGCGAAGGCAGCUCGCUGGGACGUGACUGACGCUGAGACGCGAAAGCGUGGGGAGCAAACAGG
rnacentral:rRNA from 1 species